rnacentral:rRNA from 1 species
UACGUAGGGCGCGAGCGUUGUCCGGAAUUAUUGGGCGUAAAGAGCUCGUAGGCGGCCUGUCGCGUCCGCUGUGAAAUCCCGGGGCUUAACCCCGGGCCUGCAGUGGAUACGGGGCAGGCUGGAGGCAGGCAGGGGGAGAACGGAAUUCCCCGGUGUAGCGGUGAAAUGCGCAGAUAUCGGGGAGGAACACCGGUGGCGAAGGCGGUUCUCUGGGCCUGUACUGACGCUGA